UUCUUCCUUCUUUUCUUUUCUUUUCUUUUCUUUUUCUUUCAUCUUUUUCUUUCGUUUUCUUCUUCUCUUCUUCCUGUUCUCGUCGGUGAGAGAUUUAUGAGAUUAAGGUGAGAAUUGAUUGAGGAAAUUAGGUGAUGAGGUUGUGUAGAUGAUGAAGGAACUGAUAUUGUUGUCGAUUAAGCCCAGGGAGAAGAAGAAAUUGAUGUUUUCCGUAUGAGAAGUUAGGGUUUCAUAAAAACUUGUUCUGACAAGAUGUUGAGGAUGAAAUUGAAGGUUUGGGAGAAAGAUUGGAGAUGGGUUUGUCAUGAAUUUGGCUACGGCUAAAUGAUUGCUUGAAAUUAUUAGUCAAGGUUCGAGAAUUGGUAAAUUGAAGUUGUUUUGAAGAUUAGUGUUAAUAAAUUGUAGAAGAUGAAGUUAUUGAUUUAGGGGAUUGAAUUAAUGACGGGUUUUAUGGACUUGAAGAGUUUAAUUUAUGUUUUGAGAAUUAAAUUACAGUUUAGUUGAGAACUGGUGGUGAUGAUGGAACAUUUUGGUGUUGGAUGAACUGAUUUGAGGAGUUGUUGUUAGUCUUGAGGUGAAUUGCUGAACCGAGUCAAAUGAAGAAGGAAUUGAGUUCAAUUGCCUGAGUAACACAUAUUAAGGUAAUUGUUCUCGUAAUAAAGAUUAGUUCAAUUUCAGUUUUGAGUUAUAAGUUUCUCCAUGAGUUGUGAAUGAAAUUUGUUAUGGUUUGAGCUUUAUUAUUGUGGAAUAUGGGAUGGACAGAAUUAGAUGUAUGUCUAGGAGAUCGAUUGAGUGAUGAUGAUGUUGUUAUAGUUAUUAUGAAUUUAUCAAUAAGAUGGGAUUGAAAUGGUUAGUGGUAUUGAACUGAGAUGGGUGAAAGAAGGUCAUUGCUUAGCUGCAGUUGUAAAGAUUUGGAAGUGCAAAUAAAUUGAAUAUGAUCUCAGCUGAACUGUUGCAGGUGGUGGUUUGUUAUGAGUAACAGGGCUUUAGAAAUGGAACUACUAGUGUUGCAUUCACUGGUGCAGGGCCAGCUGGAGUUGCAGUUAUUGGAGUCUUGGGGUGCAGGUGUUAACGGGAAUGGAUGUGGUGGUGGCUGUGUAUGAUUGUGUUACAGUUAGUGGUGCAAGUAGUGGUUGUAUGUGCUGGGAAGAACUGAGAAUAAUUAUGUUGAUUUGUAGUAAACAGAGGAAGUGAAAUGAUUGGAUGUAGUUGCAGGUGGUAUGAUUUGUAAUCAUGGAUGAAUUAUACUACUGGCAUAGCAAGGUGUUGUGUGUAUUGGAGGUUGUAUGGAUGUGUAGUUUAUAUUACUCUGUCUUGCAGAUGAGUUGGUAGAUGCUGGGAUUGUGACAGUGGAACUGAAGUAGAUGAGGUGAUGUUGGGUUGGUUAAUAUGUCUGCGAAUCCGUAGAGUGAGUUAGCAGUCAUGAUAUUGGGAGAGGUGGAGUAUUUGAACUGGUGGCGACUUAGAUUGGAGUUAUGAGUGAGACGUACUGUUGAUACAAUUGGGUAUUGGUGUGUGUUGAGUUGGGAAAGUAGAAAUGAUGUGGGAAUGGUGAUUGUAGAAUCACAGUUGAAUAGUCUCCUUGAAAGCCCGUAGCUACUGCGAUUGCAGGUUGUAUGAGAAGUUAUAUGACUGAAGGCUUAGAAAGAGAGUUAGACGAAUGUGUUGAGAUGAUCUGGUAUUGCUUAAGAGCUGCGAUUGAAGUUUCAGAGACAGAUCAGAGUUGCGCAGCGAAAGCUUUGAGGAGUUGAUUACGUUAUUUAGAUUGCUUCCGCUAUGUUUAUUUUGUGUUUAUAUUCAUUUGUAAAUCAACUAACUAUUGAAUAUGUAUCAUUUGAGAGAAGUUAUAUAUAUAUAUAUAUAUAUCAGAGUGGGACUAGUUUUGGGUUAAGUUUUUGUAG